AGCAAAUACCCUGUAUGUGGGGUUUUUUGCGGGGGGUGGGUGGGCCAUAGUUUGGAAUACUAAUUUGUCCAGCUCUUAAUGUUUGUAUGUAUUAUGAAUUGAGCAUCAUUUCUUCCAUAAAUUCUUCACUGGCUUGGAACAUUGUGAUCAGCAUUCAGCAGACUAGUUGCUCUUUGUAGGCAUAUGUACAAGACUGCUUUAACGUUAAAUUUUAUUCUCAAGAAUCUUUCAUUGAAUCCUCGGGACUACACAACCAAGCAGCCUUUUAUUUUGUUUUGUGAGUGUCUUUUCUGUUUGAGUCAAUUAUCUUAAUUGGUUCCUGCCAACAUUUUAUGUGGUUGCUGUCCCCAUUCAGAUUGAAAAUCUUCUCUUGUUUGCUUGAGGAGAAGAGAUGAAUUCCCAAGUGGCUCUCAGACACUGGUGAUGCUGGGAAUGAUAAUUCACAUAUGAGCUACAGGUUCUCCCCAAAAAGAGCUGAAAAAGGGAUACCAGUCUCUGCCUUCUCAGGGAAAUCCCCAUUCAGGCAAGAACAAUACAAGAAAAGAAUUUGCCCUGCUGCUCACAUAAUCACCUGGAAAGCCAAGAAUCAAAUGUCAAUGUUCCUAUUUUCCCUACUGUUUCAGACAUUGGUCGUCUGUGCUGCUAAUGACAUAGGGGGAGAUGUGGAAUGGCUUCCAGCUGUGAACUGUGUCACUCUCUAGGAAACCUUUUACCUCCUUCUGCCCCCUCUCAUUUUUCGUGAAAAUCUCACUAUUCAGUGUGUGUGUGUGUGUGGUGUUUAAAUUAUUGGCUUUAUAUGACAACCAUUUCAGACUUCUAGAAGGGGUGCUUUUCUGUGUUUUCUUGAUAAUAGCACUGGUAUACUUGUACUAUUCAAUGAAAGGGUGCAGAAUAGUGUGUGUG